CUGAAGCCAAUUAAGUCGGCCGUAUUUCUCCUUAUGGAGGCCAGUAUGCAAAGGGUGCAAACAGCAAGCCUCCUCGGUAGUGCAUGCAGCCUGUCGGCAUGUAUAGGCUGCCCUAAAGGACCUUGGAGACAACC
ensembl:snoRNA SNORA70 Small nucleolar RNA SNORA70